rnacentral:rRNA from 1 species
ACACGACUACAUUAGAUACCGCGUAGUCCUAGCCGUAAACGAUACUCGCUAGGUGUCGGCCACGGUUGCGACCGUUGUCGGUGCCCGUAAGGAAGCCGUGAAGCGAGCCACCUGGGAAGUACGGCAGCAAGGCUGAACUUAAGGAAUUGGCGGGGGAGCACCACAACGGGUGGAGCUUGCGGUUUAAUUGGAUUCAACGCCGGAAAUCUUACCGGGACCGACAGCAACAUGAAGGCCAGGCUGAAGACUUUGCCGGAUUAGCUG